CCCUGCUUCCCCAAGACUGGAUGCUCAUUGCCUUCCCCGCCCUCCACCCUAGUACAAAAAGCCUUGCAGCAACCCAGGUGCCCAUGGCCUGGGUACCUGCAGGCAAUGGCCAAGACACUAAGGUCACAGGGUUGCCUCCAUGUGUGAAGGAGCUGGUGAAGGAUCCCAGGGGACCCAGCAUGAUGUACAGGGAGUGGUAGAGGAGCUUUCACUCACCUCAACAGUCCAGGGAAUGACAAGCCAUCACAUGCUAGAGCUGCAGCAUUUUCAAAGCUGGCUCUCCCUUCUGAUUGGAGGGAGGAGCUCCAGCACUGUUAUUUCUGGCCCUGGAGAAGGGCAGCAGAGGGAGGAUGCCAGCAGGCAGAGUGAAGUACCCACCCAGCCAGACAUCGGCGGGCAGGAGCAGAGAAGCCUGCAAAUGAAGGAUGGACGGAGAGCCACCAUUUCAUGCUGAAAAGCCAUCUGACUAGGAGACUUGAGCCCCACAGACAGCCUGGGAAGUUUGAGCUGGGAUGCACAGGACUUGACCAAAACUGUGAGCAGAGGGGAAAACAGCCUGACAUGGAAUGGGGCAAGAACUCCUCUGUGGCCUAAAGCACUCAAAUGAGGCUGAGGACAGCAAAGUGGCCCCAAGAGCCAGGAGUUUAUACCAGCACCAUCUCCUGUGGGUCAGAUUCUACAUUGUGUUUGCUGCCACCACCAUUUCACCAUCUCACAAAGGAAUUAUAGGAAACUUCCUGAGUUUCUUAUAAUUAGAAGAUACCUCUUGGGAGUUUUUCAUGAGUUUUCCAGACAGUUUUGAAGAUACAGGAGUUUGGGACACUUUGGUAUAAUGAGUAUGAGAAUAUUUGGAUGUUUAUUUAAACUGGACCUUUGAGUGCCACAAAAGGAAAAAUCUUAACAGUCAAGUAUACCACGGACCAGACACAUACCUUUGACAUCCUAGAAAUCCCCCUGAUGCACUCUCAGAGGCUUCAACUCCAUCCCAAAUAUCUUUUUUUUAUCAAAAGAAUAACUCUCUGGACAAAGCACAGGCACUCAUAGCCUGUCAGAAAAAUAAUCUUUUAAUGAAAAAUAAUAGCAUGAUAUCAGAUGAAACCUGCAUGCAAGAAAGAAGGCAGCAGUAUGGGUAGCAGAGAAUGGGACCUGUAUGAUCUGUGCCUGUCUUUCCACUAGUUAACUGUAUGAUUGAGAACAAGGUAUUUGAUCUCCCCAUGCCUCCUGUUUAUCCAUCUGUAAAGUAUAAUUAAUGAUAGUAACUGUAGUAGUAUCUUGAGCCUUGCAAUGUAGAAACAACCUUUCAUUAUGUACAGACACUUAUAUCCAACUAUUUACAGUACACAGGUAACAGUUUGCUGCUGCCUUUGCAAUAGGCCUGCUUCUGUCCAUUGAGCUGGUGAUCCUCAAGCACCAGCUUCCUGGACUGGACAUUGUGUGUGGAUGUCUGACUCUCAACUCCCAAAACAAAUGCUCUACGCCUGGCUUGGUUGCAGCCUGAGAUCUUGCGGAAAUGCUACAAGAAUACAUUGAAGGCAUAUCUCAAGAAAAUGGACAAUGCUGGCUGCUAACCAACUCCAAUAGCACCGCAACCUCAACCAAGGAGAAGUCUGCUUCAAGGUAAAGCAUCUUACCCUCAAAACAGCCAAGAGAAAGCGAAAGAAGGAAAAGGAGAAAAAUCCCGGCCUAUGGCCUACUCUCCCCUAUGGCAAGACCUGAAGGUCCUGCGGAUGGAUCUGUAGGUCGUUCAAGGAUUGGAUUCUUAAGUCACCUCAAGACCCAUCAAUGAGUCAUAGUAGAGAUCACCUUUGAAUUGAGGGUUAGCCUGCAACAAGUUCAUGUUCUGUUCUCCCACCCAGAAAUUCCUGCUGUCCUUAGCAAGAGUCUCAUGGGAUAACUCACUUCUUGGACAGUGUGUGUGACCAGGGGCAUUUACUCUAAGUCACAGUAACCUGCUUUGCUGGGGUGUUGGGAGGCUUUGCUAACAUUUGCAGAGCCCUCAGUUCUCCAAUACAAAGCUUUAUGCAAGUGGUUAGUUCAUGCACCAGUAUUAUGGGACAUGAUAAUGAUGAACCACAUGAGGAAAGGAAAUACAGAAAAAAAUACUGGUUCAGUAGGAAUGUGUUAGACUAGUUUCUCAGUGUAGUACCAAAUAUUCUUCAAAGAUCCUUAAGUGGCAGCUGAUUUGAAAAACCUAUAUAUUCAUUUUCCUGUUUUGUAUUAUGUUAUAUGGAAUUUUUUCUCAUUAGCUGUUACAUUUCCAUAUAGCAAAUCUUUAGGGAGGUAUGUAUAUAUCGCUGCGCGUAUGAGCAACACUAAAUACGGCUUUAUAUUUCCUGACUCUUAGCAGAAUUGGACAAUGUUUAAAAGUUACGAAGGGCACCUGUGGCCGAUUAAUGUCAGUUCUCAUUUCAUCCUCUGGAGGAUUUUCACACAUUGCACCCCAAGGGGUGCAUUGACAUUCAUAGCUCCUCCAGGGGAAGAAACAUAUGGAGACUCCGCAGGGACAAACUUCAUGAUCUGAAUUGCCAAUCAGUGCAUGUCUGAGCCUCAGCUGUGGAAAAUCUUGCAGAUAACAAGACUUCAUGCUUCCACAAUUCUCAUUUUAAUCUGUCAGUUACUAAAUAUGGUUUCAGUAUUGCUCAAGUCAGUAAAAGACCUAGAACACUAGCUUAUUAUAGAGAGGUGGUAGCCUCUGCAUAUAUACGGUGCAGCCAGCUUCCAUUAUAACGAUCUGUUUUGUUUUCCUUAUAAAUUGGAUUGGCCUGAAAAUUGAAAUGUUUACUCUGAAAGCAGAGGAGAAUGUUUCUGCUUAGUUUAAUGAAAAUUUGUCAAACUGUUUCUUUUUGAAUCAUUUAAAUAUAUCACCUUGGUCUUAGGUUUUGAUUUCAUUUCCCUCUAUCUCAAGAAAUUGAUUGUUGUUGUUUCCAUGCACUUUGCAUUUAGCGAUAUAUCCUUGAAAAUGAUGGCUGUAUAUAAAGAAUAUAUGCUGUAAUUAAAGCAAAAUUAUUACCUGG